AGGCCUAACACAUGCAAGUCGAGCGGCAGCAGGUCCUUCGGGAUGCUGGCGAGCGGCGGACGGGUGAGUAACACGUGGGAAUUUACCCUUCGGUGGGGGAUAGCCCGGGGAAACUCGGAUUAAUACCGCAUAUCUCCUGCGGGAGAAAGUGGGCCUCUGAUGCAAGCUCACGCCGAUGGAUGAGCCCGCGUCCAAUUAGCUAGUUGGUAGGGUAAAGGCCUACCAAGGCGACAAUUGGUAGCUGGUUUGAGAGGAUGAUCAGCCACACCGGAACUGAGACACGGUCCGGACUCCUACGGGAGGCAGCAGUGGGGAAUCUUGGUCAAUGGGCGAAAGCCUGAACCAGCCAUGCCGCGUGUGUGAAGAAGGCCCUAGGGUUGUAAAGCACUUUAAGCAGGAAAGAAAAAGCCCGGGCUAAUACCCCGAGGCCUUGACGGUACCUGCAGAAUAAGCACCGGCAAACUCCGUACCAGCAGCCGCGGUAAUACGGAGGGUGCAAGCGUUAACCGGAAUUACUGGGCGUAAAGCGUGCGCAGGCGGCUCC
rnacentral:rRNA from 1 species